GUCUAUGGCCAUACCACCCUGAACACACCCAAUCUCAUCUGCUCUCAAAAGCUAAGCAAGGCUAGGCCUGGUUAAUACUUGAAUGGGAGUGCUAACU
rnacentral:rRNA from 1 species